UGGGGAAUAUUGGACAAUGGGCGCAAGCCUGAUCCAGCCAUGCCGCGUGAGUGAUGAAGGCCCUAGGGUUGUAAAGCUCUUUCACCGGUGAAGAUAAUGACGGUAACCGGAGAAGAAGCCCCGGCUAACUUCGUGCCAGCAGCCGCGGUAAUACGAAGGGGGCUAGCGUUGUUCGGAUUUACUGGGCGUAAAGCGCACGUAGGCGGACUUUUAAGUCAGGGGUGAAAUCCCGGGGCUCAACCCCGGAACUGCCUUUGAUACUGGAAGUCUUGAGUAUGGUAGAGGUGAGUGGAAUUCCGUGUGUAGAGGUGAAAUUCGUAGAUAUUCGGAGGAACACCAGUGGCGAAGGCGGCUCACUGGACCAUUACUGACGCUGAGGUGCGAAAGCGUGGGGAGCAAACAGG
rnacentral:rRNA from 1 species